UACUCAAGCCCCAAGGGCCUCCAUGGAACUCCUUGAAUGUGCGGCCAAGCUGUGCCUCUGAGCCUUUGCACUGGCUGAUCCCUCUAUCUGGAAUGCCUUUCCCUCAGAAAACCUUGCAGCUUGCUCCCUCCUCUCCUUCAAACUCGUGCCCAAAUGCCUCCUUCUCAAAUGAGUCCUACCCUGUCACCCUAUGUAAAAUUACAACCUCCACCCCUCAUCGUCCGUCUUCCUUCUCUCUUUUAUUAUUCUCCUCCCCAGCGCUUAUCAUUUUCUAGAACUUACAUCAUGUGCUUACUUAGCAUGUUUGUUGUUUGUCUCCUCGCCCAGAAGCAAGCUCCCAGAGGGCAAAGCUUUCCUUGGCUUGAUACACGGCUUGCUCCCCAGCAACCUGGAAACACGCCCCAUGCCUCGGAGGAGGUAACAGCAGCAGAGAUUCAGGGCAGACCUUGGGGAGACACCCAUCAAAGCAGGUGAGGAUGGGGAAAAAGGACUGAGGGUGGGCCCAUCGGUCCAUUCCAGAACUCCCACUGGAAUGUCAAACGGGCUUGAGCGGACAGCUGAGCCCUGGAGCCUGGGGACGAGAUGUUCCAUCCUCUGAGCAGACUGAGGCCGGAUGUCGGCUUGGAGCCGACGCCGCACCAGCUCCAGCUCCCUUCCUUGGCUGCAGGGUCUUCUUUGGAGUGAGGGUCGGCCCUCUCGGCGCCUCAGGGAGCGCAGGGCCCUUCGGAGGCAAGUGGUGUGGGGGCCUCUCCCAUGUGGGGGGCUCUGUUAGACCUCCUUCCUUCUUCUUCUCGUUGGCGGCGAGGCUGGAGGGUGUGCUUUUUCCAGACCCUUCUCUCUCACGAGUCUGAACAGUCAGAGGAAGCGGC
rnacentral:lncRNA from 1 species